rnacentral:rRNA from 1 species
AGACGAAGGAUGCAAGCGUUAUCCGGAAUUACUGGGCGUAAAGGGUGUGUAGGCGGUGUAUUAAGUCAGUGGUGAAAGCCUGCGGCUCAACCGUAGAACUGCCAUUGAUACUGACACACUUGAGUAUGGACGAGGUAGGCGGAAUUUAUGGUGUAGCGGUGAAAUGCAUAGAUACCAUAAAGAACACCGAUAGCGAAGGCAGCUUACUAGGCCAUAACUGACGCUGAGGCACGAAAGCGUGGGGAGCGAACAGGAUUAGAAACCCCAGUAGUCC